GUCUUUUUGAGAAUAAUAUAAAGUCUGACCUGCCCAAUGAUGAUUUAAAUGGCCGCGGUAUUUUGACCGUGCAAAGGUAGCAUAAUAAUUAGUUUUUUAAUUGAAAGCUGGAAUGAAUGGUUGGACGAGAAAAUAACUGUCUCAAGUUAAUUUAAUUAGAAUUUUAUUUUUAAGUAAAAAAGCUUAAAUUUUUUUAAAAGACGAGAAGACCCUAUAGAGCUUUAUAUAUUUAUAAUUAAAGAUAAUGUGGGAUUUUAGGGUUUUUAUUUUUAAAUGUAUUUUAUUGGGGUGAUAAAAAAAUUAAUAAAACUUUUUUUUUAUAUUUACAUUAAUUUAUGAUUUGUUGAUCCAUUUUUUAUGAUUAAAAGAUUAAGUUACCUUAGGGAUAACAGCGUAAUUUUUUUUUAGAGUUCUUAUCGAAAGAAGAGAUUGCGACCUCGAUGUUGGAUUAAAAUUAAUAUUUGGUGAAGAUGCUAGAUAAUUAGGUCUGUUCGACCUUUAAAAUUUUACAUGAUCUGAGUUUAAACCGGUGUAAGCCAGGUUGGUUUCUAUCUUUAAAUAAUUAAAAUAUUUUAGUACGAAAGGACCAAAUAUUUAUAAGAUUUAUUUAAUUUGGAAUAAUAUUAA
rnacentral:rRNA from 1 species